AAAUGCCUACUAAUUGAGUAGAUCUCUCCUAUAUGUUGAGGUGUAGAAAAUACAAAGAUUUCAUUUAACUUGAUCUCUGAGGCAUUUAAAUUUAAAAUGGAAGACUUCUAAUGAAGCAGGAGGCUGUAUUUGUGGUUAUUAUUGUGUCUGAAGGGUGAAAUGACAUAUGACAGUUAAUUAUGGUGGAUAUUAUAAUAAGAGACGUGCUUAAAGUGGUUUCAAAUCUAAAUACAUUUGAAGUCAAUAAGAGUACCUAUGGCAAAGUGUUUCAAUCCUGAUUUAUAAUCUAGCACUUUUACCCCGGUAUGGUUAUUUAUGUACAAAUUGACCUGUUCCUAGAAUAGAAUAUGAUAUGUUAGUAAAACCGUACACCUAGGUGUGGAAAGACAAUUAGCCUAUAAACACACUGACUUCCUCUUUAGGCUGAGAACACCUCAUAUUUCCAAGACUAAUGGUUUCUAAUCUGUUUUUAAAUGUUCCAUUUGGAUAGUGAAGGCGUAACUAUCAAAACACUGUAAAAUCAUAAUGCCUGUGCAGCUAUAAAUUACUGUUUUCAAAAUGAGCUGGAGGUCUCCAACUUAUUCCCAAGUGCAGAAAAGUUAGAUAACAUAAAACUGCUCAAAAAUGACUAGAAGCAACAUUUCUGGCUUUUUCCAAAUGCUGGGGAAUCGUGGAUCUGCCUAGUAACUCCCUAGCAAUGCCCGUGUGGAUAGCAAUGAAGCUAGUCCCAUAAAGAAUACUUGAAUAGAUCAAAAGCAUUUCAGAUCAGAGAUCAACAGAAAGAACUAUGUUGCUUUUUGUUUGUUUAUUUAUUUAUGUGCUGGAAAUUUCUCUGAUAUGAAAAAUAUCUCACUUAUUUUUCAUUCAUCAAAUUGUGGACUGCUUCAUAUGAGAUGCUGACUGCACGAUGGUGAAGUGCUGCUUCCAUGGAAGACGAUGCUUAAAACAAUAAGAAAAAGCAUCAACCCUCUCAUGCCAUGGUUUGAACUUUGGAGUGUGCACAAGGAUGGAAGAAGUACAAGGAGUGGUGGGACGUAAUGCAAAGUGAGUCUGAGCUGCCCUUUACUUCAGCCUUCACACCGUGAAGAUGCAGUUUAUUCCACCAGGAGUGCUGAUAUUGCAGACACCUAUUUAAACACAGCAGUGCUGGAGGUAACCUCUCUUGCCUGGGCACAAGGUUUGAACGUGUUUUAUGAACACUGCACUGCUG
rnacentral:lncRNA from 1 species